UAGCACUUCUUUUACACUGAAGAGUUCCCUGCUCAAACCAGGUUGUUCUGA
rnacentral:tRNA from 1 species